GCCUCUGUCAGGAGGGCGACAAAGACCACUAAAUGGGUGCACCUGGACUGAACAGACCACGAUCUCGAGGCUGCUAGUAUGUUUAAGAAAUGAGUACAUGACCACAUAGAGGAACAAAAACAAGCACAGAUCUGUAUAAAUGAUGAGAAGUGAAAAUUUAUGACUGAUUUGAUUAUGAUUAAUUGGAUCACUUUGGAUGAUUUUGAAAACAGUUUGAGCCCCAGUCAUCCAUUUUUACAGCUCUCUAAAUUUUUGUUUUAGGUUUUCCCUAAAGAUUCCUUAGUUGAUAGCAGUGUAAGCUAUUUUCAUCAUGAGGAAGAGCACACUGGAGAUGUAAGUAUAAUACUAGUCAAUAGUUUAGUUCUGAUAUUGGGUUCAUGGGCUUCCUCGUUGGCUCAACGGUAAAGAGUCUCUCUGCUAUGUAGGAGACGCAGGAGACGUGGGUUCGAUCCCUGGGUAAGGAAGAUCCCCUGGAAGAGGGCAUGGCAGCCCACUCCAGUAUUCUUGCCUGGAGAAUCCCUUGGGCAGAGGAGCCUGGCAGGCUGCAGUCCAUACGGUCACAAAGAGUCAGACCCGCACAAUGCGUUCACAUUAUGAAAAAAAGGCCUACCAUGGACCAAUGAUGGGAAUGGAAUGCAUUUUGAAAUAUUUUUUUAUGAUCAAAACACCUAAAAACUACUGAGGUCCAUGACAAAAAAAUUAUGUUUACAUCUGUGGAAAGGGAGAGACUUCAGUAAUGUUCAAGGGUUGUAUUGUCGGUCUUUG
rnacentral:lncRNA from 1 species